rnacentral:tRNA from 1 species
GCCCCCAUCGUCUAGCGGUUAGGACGCUGCCCUCUCACGGCAGAAACAGGGGUUCGAGUCCCCUUGGGGGUACCA